CUCAUCCACAGCCAACAGGGACACCUGGUCACCAGGGACAGAGGGAGAAGCCAAACAGAAACGUCAUCCCAGGCAGGGCCAUGAACUUGCCUGAUGGGUUGGAGAAGUCACUUCCCUCUCUCUGGACCUCAGUUUCCCUACCUGUGAAAUAGACCGAUGUCAACCUGCAGUCUCAAAAGUUGAGGGUUGAUGAGCUGCUCUGCCACCUUGAAGAUAGGUGAGGCUCUGGAACCCUCAGGUAAAACUCCCUGAGGCCCUGCUUCCCACUCUUACACCUUAGCUCCUACCAUCUCUCGCCCCACGAUACCCUUCCUGCCUGACCAUUGUCUUCAAAGCCACAACCCCUUCCCUUAUGGACCCUCAGCCCCUCUGACUCUCCUGAGCUUGUCCCUCUCUGAACACCCACAGCUGUCCCUGAGUGUGUCACUCAGCUGAAGUCAUCACCUUCCUCUCACCGCACGUAUCUUACCUGGAAUUACAUUAUUUUAUUCAUUCA